rnacentral:rRNA from 1 species
CGGCGAACGGGUGAGUAACACGUGGGCAACCUGCCCUCAGCUCUGGGACAACCCCGGGAAACCGGGGCUAAUACCGGAUACGACUUUCGACCUCAUGGUCGUUGGUGGAAAGUUUUUCGGCUGAGGAUGGGCCCGCGGCCUGUCAGCUUGUUGGUGGGGUAAUGGCCUACCAAGGCGACGACGGGUAGCCGGCCUGAGAGGGCGACCGGCCACACUGGGACUGAGACACGGCCCAGACUCCUACGGGAGGCAGCAGUGGGGAAUAUUGCGCAAUGGGCGAAAGCCUGACGCAGCGACGCCGCGUGAGGGAUGAAGGCCUUCGGGUUGUAAACCUCUUCCAGCAGGGACGAAGCGAAAGUGACGGUACCUGCAGAAGAAGCACCGGCCAACUACGUGCCAGCAGCCGCGGUAAUACGUAGGGUGCAAGCGUUGUCCGGAAUUAUUGGGCGUAAAGAGCUCGUAGGCGGUCUGUCGCGUCGGCUGUGAAAUCUCGGGGCUCAACCCCGAGCCUGCAGUCGAUAC